rnacentral:rRNA from 1 species
AUUGAACGCCGGCGGCAGGCCUAACACAUGCAAGUCGAGCGGAUGAGGGAAGCUUGCUUCCCGAUUUAGCGGCGGACGGGUGAGUAAUGCCUAGGAAUCUGCCUAUUAGUGGGGGAUAACGUUCCGAAAGGAACGCUAAUACCGCAUACGUCCUACGGGAGAAAGUGGGGGAUCUUCGGACCUCACGCUAAUAGAUGAGCCUAGGUCGGAUUAGCUAGUUGGUGAGGUAACGGCUCACCAAGGCGACGAUCCGUAGCUGGUCUGAGAGGAUGAUCAGCCACACUGGAACUGAGACACGGUCCAGACUCCUACGGGAGGCAGCAGUGGGGAAUAUUGGACAAUGGGCGAAAGCCUGAUCCAGCCAUGCCGCGUGUGUGAAGAAGGUCUUCGGAUUGUAAAGCACUUUAAGUUGGGGGGAAGAGUUGUAAGCUAAUAUCUUGCAGCUUUGACGUUACCAACAGAAUAAGCACCGGCUAACUCUGUGCCAGCCGCCGCUGUAAAAC